rnacentral:rRNA from 1 species
GUCGAGGAUCAUUCGCAAUGGGCGAAAGCCUGACGAUGCGACGCUGCGUGGAGGAUGAAGGCCUUCGGGUCGUAAACUCCUGUCAUGUGGGAAAAAUGGCGGCCGGAUUAAUACCCCAGCCGCGUGAUGGUACCACAAGAGGAAGCCACGGCUAACUCUGUGCCAGCAGCCGCGGUAAUACAGAGGUGGCGAGCGUUGUUCGGAUUUACUGGGCGUAAAGGGUGCGUAGGCGGACUCGUAUGUCGGAUGUGAAAUCCCACAGCUCAACUGUGGACGGUCAUCCGAAACUGCGAGACUAGAGUGCGGGACGGGAGAGCGGAAUUCUUGGUGUAGCGGUGAAAUGCGUUGAUAUCAAGAGGAACACCGGUGGCGAAGGCGGCUCUCUGGAACGCAACUGACGCUGAGGCACGAAAGCGUGGGGAGCAAACAGGAUUAGAUACCCCGGUAGUCC